rnacentral:rRNA from 1 species
GACGAACGCUGGCGGCGUGCCUAAUACAUGCAAGUCGAACGAACCGCGACUGAGUGCUUGCACUUGGUCAAGGUGAGUGGCGAACGGGUGAGUAACACGUGGGUAACCUACCUCAUAGUGGGGGAUAACAGUCGGAAACGACUGCUAAUACCGCAUAGGACAUAGGAUCACAUGAUCCAGUGAGGAAAGGUGGCGCAAGCUAUCGCUAAGAGAUGGACCCGCGGGGCAUUAGCUAGUUGGUAGGGUAAAGGCCUACCAAGGCGAUGAUGCAGAGCCGACCUGAGAGGGUGAUCGGCCACAUUGGGAGUGAGACACGGCCCAAACUCCUGAGGGAGGCAGCAGUCGGGAAUCUUCCGCAAUGGACGAAAGUCUGACGGAGCAACGCCGCGUGAGUGAAGAAGGUCUUCGGAUCGUGAAGCUGUGUUGUUAGAGAAGAACAGCGCAUAGAGUAACUGAUAUGCGUGUGACGGUAUCUAACCAGAAAGCCACGGCUAACUACGUG